GACGAACGCUGGCGGCGUGCUUAACACAUGCAAGUCGAACGGAAAGGCCCUGCUUUUGUGGGGUGCUCGAGUGGCGAACGGGUGAGUAACACGUGAGUAACCUGUCCUUGACUUUGGGAUAACUUCAGGAAACUGGGGCUAAUACCGGAUAGGAGCUCCUGCUGCAUGGGGGGGGUUGGAAAGUUUCGGCGGUUGGGGAUGGACUCGCGGCUUAGCAGCUUGUUGGUGGGGUAGUGGCUGACCAAGGCUUUGACGGGUAGCCGGCCUGAGAGGGUGACCGGCCACAGGGGAAAGGAGACAAGGGCAAGAGUACGACGGGAGGCAGCGGUAGGGAAGCGGCCGCAAUGGGCGAAAGCCUGACGGAGCACCGCCGCGUGAGUGAUGAAGGGCUUCGGAGCGUAAAACUCUGUUAUUAGGGAAGAACAAAGGUGUAAGGAACUAUGCACGUCUUGACGGUACCUAAUCAGAAAGCCACGGCUAACUACGUG
rnacentral:rRNA from 1 species